rnacentral:rRNA from 1 species
UAUAACGCAAUGUGGUGGUGAGCGUAUUGCUUAUCAGUAAAGCCUUCGGGCGCCUGGAGAAGGGCUUGCGUCUGAUUAGCUAGUUGGUGGGGUAAUAGCCUACCAAGGCGAUGAUCAGUAGCUGGUCUGAGAGGACGAUCAGCCAGACAGGGACUGAGACACGGCCCUG